CCAAGACAAGCAGAGUCACAUUUAUUGCUAGCAAUUAAAUACAAAGAUGGAUCAGGUGCUGUACUCAGUAGUACAAUUCCCUAAUGGUGGGACGGCCAUAGUUCUGCAGAGUUGGCUGAGAGAUAACACACUGCUAUGGCCACUCAAAAAAAUUCCACUUGCAAAAGCUUUGCAACAAAGGAUGGAGCCAGAUAGUACAUGGAUCACCUACAGCGAUGUCCGCCAACUAAUUACAUGUCAAACAUAUGAAGAAGCCAGACGAGGAGAACACAAGUACAACACCACCAUGUGUGCAACCGCUGAAAUUGAGUCAGAGGAGGA